CCUACGGGAGGCUGCAGUGGGGAAUAUUGGACAAUGGGGGGAACCCUGAUCCAGCCAUGCCGCGUGUGUGAAGAAGGCCCUCGGGUUGUAAAGCACUUUCAGUGAGGAAGAACGCCUGGUGGUUAAUACCCAUCAGGAAAGACAUCACUCACAGAAGAAGCACCGGCUAACUCCGUGCCAGCAGCCGCGGUAAUACGGAGGGUGCGAGCGUUAAUCGGAAUUACUGGGCGUAAAGCGCGCGUAGGUGGCUUGAUAAGCCGGUUGUGAAAGCCCCGGGCUCAACCUGGGAACGGCAUCCGGAACUGUCAAGCUAGAGUACAGGAGAGGAAGGGAGAAUUCCCGGUGUAGCGGUGAAAUGCGUAGAGAUCGGGAGGAAUACCAGUGGCGAAGGCGGCCUUCUGGACUGACACUGACACUGAGGUGCGAAAGCGUGGGUAGCAAACAGGAUUAGAUACCCCUGUAGUC
rnacentral:rRNA from 1 species